CGGGGCCGUCGCUCGGGGGCGAGGGUUCGCGCCGCGGCUCGCGCCCGCUUCUCCCGCUUUACGGCUGCUGAAAACCCGGCCCGGCCCGGCAGCCGUACCGCAGACGAGCCCGCGCCUGUGCCCGCGCCGCUCAGGAGGCUGAGGGAAGAAAAGGAUAAUUUAAAUGAAAUUUAGUUUCUAUAAAGAAAACGAUUAAAAACAAGGAAAUGAGCUUUGACUAUUAGGCACCUGGAUGAAGAGCCCUGGGUUCAGAUUGUCAGUCUCCUGUAACCUGAAGAAGCCCUCCAGUUGCACUAGGAACGUUCAAUUGAAGUAAGACCUAAUUAUUUUAAUCAGAUUGUAAG
rnacentral:lncRNA from 1 species